GACGUAGGGCGCGAGCGUUGUCCGGAAUCAUUGGGCGUAAAGAGCGUGUAGGCGGCCCGGUAAGUCCGCUGUGAAAGUCCAGGGCUCAACCCUGGAAUGCCGGUGGAUACUGCAGGGCUAGAGUCCGGAAGAGGCGGGUGGAAUUCCUGGUGUAGCGGUGGAAUGCGCAGAUAUCAGGAGGAACACCAACGGCGAAGGCAGCCCGCUGGGACGGUACUGACGCUAAGGCGCGAAAGCGUGGGGAGCGAACAGG
rnacentral:rRNA from 1 species